CUAAUCCGAGCCUUCUCACACCCUCACUGAUUUCUGCCGUUGGAUCACGCAUCUCGACCAUCCUUGGCCGUCCAAGGCAUUGUUUUCUCCUGCACGGGCUAAUACUGGGCCGAAUGUCCUGGGGCAGCUACUCCCAAGGCCGAAUCGAAAGCCUCUCGUUCACUUACUAUGCCCAACGUCGGAUGCAGAAGGAACGAUAGUGAUUCUCUCUGUGUCCUCGUAGCCCCACCCGCUCCUCCGGCCCUCCCCGCACCCACCCCGCUCCACCCCUGACCCUCCAGGCGCGCCGCCACGGUCGUCGUCGCUGUAGAGAGAGGGAGCCGCUCAGAUCGCUCCCAGUCUAAGCCGAGCCUCCACAUCUCGCAUGAAGAAAGAGAUCUGUGCGUCACUUCCUCCAUCCUGUACAGGAAGAUGCUGUAUCCGACCAUGCCGUCGCCGGGCCCACGCAGGGAGAGGCGCCCUCAGAUUCUGCCGAGGGCGAAGGAGACCACAAGAGAAAGCUCGAGGAGGUUGACGCCGGCGCGAAGGUGAACGACGACGUGGAGGAUGCGUGGAAGGCAAUGGCGUGACUUAGUUUCUCCAACACCUUGCCCCUCUCUAUCCACGUGUGUGUUGUAUUGUACCUAGGGUUUAGUGUAUUAAGCAAUGAUUCUAGCGUGUCAAACAUGGUCGGCUUUGUGUUAAGCUUGGAUUGGAAUCCAUCUGAUCCGUUCAUUAUCUCUAUUGGGAUCAGACGUCAUUCAAAACAGUGAGUCCUCUGAGAAGCCUGAGGAGCCAUGACUAAAUUACCGCUACAACAGCAAAAAUUUGCUGCAACCGGUGACUUGCAGGAGACUACCCACGUAAUUGAUGUGCACAAUACAAAGGUUGAUGUUCUAAUAUGAAAAGCAGGUGAAACGAUCAGAAACCUGUAAAUGAGCAAAGGCGCGAAAGAUUCAAAUUACAAUGGAUGCAGAUGUUCCUUCAGAUGCCAUUACUCGUCCGAUUGAAUUGUUCGGAACACAUGUGAGUAUUGCCUAGGCUGCAGCGUAGCUUAUUAAGAGUGUUAUAACUGAUGUAUGCUAAAGGUUGAAGAUGGUGGUUCCCCUACCUUGAUGGACAAAGGUUUUGGGUCCACACAGUUAGGUUCAGAGCAGUUUCAGAGUGGAGGCUUGUUUCUUCUUCCUCAUCACACAUGUUUUGGGGCUCCCCUAACAUCAACCUCGACCUCAAGCAGUGGUGCCCCUCUCAUGGCCGGUUUAAGCAGCGUUCCAAGGCAGACUGCCAUCAGGAUGGACACCAUGCUUCUGCCCUACAUCCACCGCUGGCAUGUCGUCCCCUGUAGGUUCAAGUAGGGGCGAGAGGGACGACAUGGAGUAGCAGUGUAGCGCUCAUAUAUUGCCUAUGUCUUUCACUUUAUGAUUCCAAAUCAGAUUACCCUGUCAAGGUCAGUACUGCUCCUUUUUGCUGUUUCUUGUUAUCAAUAUUUUUGUGCCACUUCUAAAAUAUCAAAUUACCAAUCCUUCUCCAUACAUGUAGUCUUACAUUUCUAUGUCCUUAAAUAUUUGUUAUGAUUUGUUUAGUUCGUACAUAAAUAUUCAGAAAUAGUUCAAUGCGUAAUUCAUGAUUACAAUUUAUGCUAAUUAGGCUUUAGUUUGGUGCCACUUUGAUUCUUAGACUAAGUUUGGCUUGCCUAUGAUAUAACAAUAUCAUGUAGAGAUUUUGCUGAAUUUUAUGUGAAUAAUAUAGACAAAUGGAUAUCGGAUUUUUGGUGAAUAAUAUAAUAUAUACAAUCUGUUGACAUGUUUGGAAUUGUAAGAACAUUCAUCAUUUCUUAAGCACUGUUAAAAGAUCGCAGCAACAAAAUCUUCUCUUAAGCUAACAUGAUUUGCAUAAUAGAAUGUUUACUUUUGGGUUAAGGUACAAUUUUCCUACUGCUAGCCGAUUUUAGGUACAGAUUAUGAAUUUGAUUACCAAAUUUUGUUUUCUGGCUAUUAGCAACAACAUUUGUCAUCAUUAUUCAGUGUACAAAUUUUCAUGUGUUUUACAAAAAUCUCUGGCAGGAUGGAGAUCUGACAUCACUAAAGUUAUGAAAUUUCUAACAUUACCAAGCCAUAAACGAUGGUUGUAGUUUCCCUGUAUUUUAUGAGAUCACCAUGUACACCAGCCUCUUGUAAUUUGACAGAGACAAAAAAAAAAGUCAGACUUGACUUCUUCUGUUGCUAACAAAUAUAUGCAUGUAUAUGCAAAAUGAACUAUAA